rnacentral:rRNA from 1 species
GAUGAACGCUGGCGGCGCGCCUAACACAUGCAAGUCGAACGAUUAAAGCACCUUCGGGUGUGUAUAAAGUGGCGAACGGCUGAGUAACACGUGGGCAACCUGCCCCUCUCAUUGGGAUAGCCACGGCAAACCGUGGAUAAUACCGAAUACUUCGCGACUUCCGCAUGGAACACUCGAGAAAGCUCCGGCGGCGAGGGAUGGGCUCGCGGCCUGUUAGCUUGUUGGUGGGGUAAUGGCCUACCAAGGCAAUGCUGGGUAGCUGGGGUGAGAGACCGACCAGCCUGACUGGGACUGAGACACGGCCCAGCCUCCUACGGGAGGAAGCAGUGGGGAAUCUUGCACACUGGGCGAACGCCAGAGGCAGCGCCGCCGGGUGCGGGAUGAAGGCCUUCGGGUUGUAAACCGCUUUCAGCAGGGACGAGGCGAAAGUGACGGUACCUGCAGAAGAAGCCCCGGCUAACUACGUG